rnacentral:snoRNA from 1 species
ACCCUCCAAAUUCCUUACCCCUCAGAUCUAAAUAUUGGCCUGAGAGGCUGUAAAAAGAGGAAAAGUAAAACUGAAGGGGACUUGGAAUCUUUAGUGACAAACAAGUUAACUGCAAACAAAG